ACCUCGGAUCAGGUAGGGAUACCCGCUGAACUUAAGCAUAUCAAUAG
rnacentral:rRNA from 1 species